rnacentral:rRNA from 1 species
UGAUACUAAGCCAUGCGAGUCAUUGUAGCAAUACAAGGCAUACGGCUCAGUAACGCGUAGUCAACCUAACCUAUGGACGGGAAUAACCUCGGGAAACUGAGAAUAAUGCCCGAUAGAACAUUAUGCCUGGAAUGGUUUAUGUUCCAAAUGAUUUAUCGCCGUAGGAUGGGACUGCGGCCUAUCAGUUUGUUGGUGAGGUAAUGGCCCACCAAGACUAUUACAGGUACGGGCUCUGAGAGGAGUAGCCCGGAGAUGGGUACUGAGACACGGACCCAGGCCCUAUGGGGCGCAGCAGGCGAGAAAACUUUGCAAUGUGCGAAAGCACGACAAGGUUAAUCCGAGUGGUUUCUGCUAAAGGAACCUUUUGUCAGUCCUAGAAACACUGAUGAAUAAGGGGUGGGCAAGUUCUGGUGUCAGCCGCCGCGGUAAAACCAGCACCUCAAGUGGUCAGGAUGAUUAUUGGGCCUAAAGCAUCCGUAGCCGGCUCUGUAAGUUUUCGGUUAAAUCUGUACGCUCAACGUACAGGCUGCCGGGAAUACUGCAAAGCUAGGGAGUGGGAGAGGUAGACGGUACUCGGUAGGAAGGGGUAAAAUCCUUUGAUCUAUUGAUGACCACCUGUGGCGAAGGCGGUCUACCAGAACACGUCCGACGGUGAGGGAUGAAAGCUGGGGGAGCAAACCGGAUUAGAUACCCGGGUAGUCCCAGCUGUAAACCAUGCAAACUCAGUGAUGCAUUGGCUUGUGGCCAAUGCAGUGCUGCAGGGAAACCGUUAAGUUUGCCGCCUGGGAAGUACGUACGCAAGUAUGAAACUUAAAGGAAUUGGCGGGGGAGCACCACAAGGGGUGAAGCCUGCGGUUCAAUUGG